rnacentral:rRNA from 1 species
AUGAACGCUAGCGACAGGCCUAACACAUGCAAGUCAGGGGCAGCACAAGGAGCAAUCUGAGGUGGCGACCGGCGCACGGGUGAGUAACACGUAUGCAACCUGCCUGUAAGCGGGGAAUAACCCGUUGAAAGACGGACUAAUACCGCAUAAUACUAAAUUACUGCAUGGUAAUUUAUUUAAACAUUUAUGGCUUACAGAUGGGCAUGCGUAUGAUUAGCUAGUUGGAGAGGUAACGGCUCCCCAAGGCAACGAUCAUUAGGGGUUCUGAGAGGAAGGUCCCCCACACUGGUACUGAGACACGGACCAGACUCCUACGGGAGGCAGCAGUGAGGAAUAUUGGUCAAUGGACGAGAGUCUGAACCAGCCAAGUCGCGUGCAGGAAGAAUGUCCUUAAUGGAUUGUAAACUGCUUUUGCAGGGGAAUAAAGUGCAUCACGUGUGAUGUUUUGUAUGUACUCUGCGAAUAAGGAUCGGCUAACUCCGUGCCAGCCGCAGC